rnacentral:rRNA from 1 species
GACGAACCGAGCGAACGUUGUUCGGAAUCACUGGGCUUAAAGGGCGCGUAGGCGGCUUAUCAAGUCAGGGGUGAAAUUUUGCGGCUUAACCGUAACAGUGCCUUUGAUACUGGUAGGCUCGAGGGAGACAGGGGUCUGUGGAACUUCUGGUGGAGCGGUGAAAUGCGUUGAUAUCAGAAGGAACGCCGGUGGCGAAAGCGACGGACUGGAUCUCAUCUGACGCUGAGGCGCGAAAGCUAGGGGAGCAAACGGGAUUAGAAACCCCCGUAGUCC